CCUACGGGAGGCAGCAGUGGGGAAUAUUGCACAAUGGGCGAAACCCUGAUGCAGCGACGCCGCGUGAGUGAAGAAGUAUUUCGGUAUGUAAAGCUCUAUCAGCAGGGAAGAAAUAGCGACCUUUGGGUCGCCAGACGGUACCUGAUUAAGAAGCCCCGGCUAACUACGUGCCAGCAGCCGCGGUAAUACGUAGGGGGCAAGCGUUAUCCGGAUUUACUGGGUGGAAAGGGUGCGUAGGCGGCAGCGCAAGUCUGAAGUGAAAUGCCGGGGCUUAACCCCGGAACUGCUUUGGAAACUGGGCAGCUAGAGUGCAGGAGAGGUAAGUGGAAUUCCUGGUGUAGCGGUGAAAUGCGUAGAUAUUAGGAGGAACACCAGUGGCGAAGGCGGCUUACUGGACUGUAACUGACGUUGAGGCUCGAAAGCGUGGGGAGCAAACAGGAUUAGAUACCCCUGUAGUC
rnacentral:rRNA from 1 species